UACAAAGUCGCCCCCCUGACAAUGCGCCCCAAACAAUGUCGCCCCCUAGCAAAGUCGCCCCCAGAAAAUAAUUUAGGCUACAAUACUUAUGGUAAACAUGGUGGUAAACAAAUAUAAUUAAAACAUUUUCAGAAAAAUUCUGUAUGAAGCAAUGUGCAGACAAUUUUGUUUACAACACAUCAUCGAAAUGUCUAGUUCUGAACUUUUGAAACCCUUAUAAAACAUUUAGCUUUCCACCAUUGUAUCCUCUAUUAGAAACAGGUAGUCUUACGCUUUAACUGUAAUUCUGUAAUAUUGCUAUUUAGCCUAUUAUAUUUAUAUCGUCUCGCGCAUGCUCGUUGUCAGCCGUCACUGUUUGUUGUGGAUUCAUUAUUUGUUCCUCCCUGAAUCAGUGAAUGUCUCACUUGACUCAAAUGUUACACCUGUAAUUAAUUAAUUGCUAUUAAGCCUAUAAUAUUUGUCAAAGACAGGUCCAACGUUUAUUUAGUAUUUGUUUAGGUUAUUCGCCGCCCGCCGCUCAGCUGCUUAUACUUUUCUUUUGUGGGGCCGCUUUACAGGGCGUUUUUUUUGUUGUUCAAGAAAUCAACGGGUUUCUUCUUCAGAAUUUACCACGCUAUGGCAACAGGAUAAGAUUAUAACAACUCAAAGUAACCAUAGAGCAAGGACUUGUCCUUGCUCUAUGAAUUCACGAUAUAGCUGACGAAGAUUUAUGAUUUUUUACCGAAACGUUGUACGAUUUUAAAAAUGAAAACAAUCUUUGUGCCCUUUGAAUAUAGUAAAAAAAACAUACGUGGUGAUUAUCGGUUAUUUUGGGAAACCACAGACUGCAAUGAAAAAGUUGAAAUCUUUUUCAGAAUUUUAAAAAUAAUAUCCAAGGAAAGUGAGCAAACCUAAAUAAACCACUGGUUAAAAGACUAAUGUGAUCAAUAUUCAUUUUUCCGAAAUACGGCAAUGCCAUUGGAUAAGGAACCUAAACAUUUUGACGUCAACAAAAGCGGUGACACCCCGCCACCACACCGCGCCGCUAUCUAGGAUUUAGCAGUGCGCAUGCGCGAGUUGAGCAGCGCCAUUUUACAACUAAUAAGAGGAUAUGACUCGAUGCGUAGUUCUUAAUUUCACCAAGGAAAGGUAAAUCUUUUUUGUUUUAAUUUUCUCCUGUCGAAAUGCAUUUCCGUAAACUGCUGGCAAUUCGUGCAUGGUAAUCUUUGGUUAUUUAGCACCUAAAAUACAUGUACAAAAUCCGCUCAAUUUCCUUCUGACGAUUUCCGUGCCCAAAACACACUGUAAUGAAUGCGUAUUCUGUUCACUGUGUGCCACUCACUGUGGUGGUGCUACAGUAGUUUACAGGACCUGCCUUACCGCAUGGUAUUCAGUAAAGAGCCAAGACACAGGAAGAAUGUAUUUGAAGAUGCAUUCAAGAUGUUUCAAGACUCAAGAUCGGAUCUGCACAUCAAGCUUGCAAGAAGAAGAUUGGAAUCAGGAAUCCUUGAGAAGAUGACACUCUGAGAUGUGCAGGAAGAUGUGUGGGGAGGCAGUCCACCUGCAAGGCCUCCCCUGAAAUGGCUGCUGAAGAGACACGAGUACAUAAAGUGCUAUAGAAGCUUUACUGUAGUGAAAUAUUUGCCAUCAUCCUGCAAUACACACACGGUCUAAAAGAGAAAUGACAAGACAAGCACAUAAGAAAAUGAGAUGAUGGAAAACCUCUUUAGUUGUUUGUGUUCUGCUCAGAUGUUGCCUAGCGACAAGGGAUGCUCAGUACUUUGAUAACAUCUUCUCCACAUUGGGAGAGAUUGAAAGAGAACAGGUGAUGAGGAGGGUGACUCCAGGAAUGCGGCCCCAUUACAAUGUGAGCAUGAGGCGACCACGGACACAUGUUUAUGCCAGACUGCAACACUGUAUUAAUGAAACUCAAUGCAUGCAUCAAGGACAUUCACCAAAGAGCCACUGCAAACACGAUGAUGCUUAAUGCUGCAAAGCAUUGGUUCUUCAUUUUACAUCAAGAUUUUCACAACAGCCACUUCCAGUCAUUUCCAUCACGGUUGUUGAUGUGAAACCACUCAACGAAAGCCAGAAAUCUCUGUGCAGUUAUGGAUGAACAUCUACAUGUAUCACUGAAGGCCCAUGUCUCUACCCUAUAUGCCGCUCUUAAAUUACUGUCAUCCAAAGAUGUUUUAAGUUUAGAAAAUAAUGAUCCACACAAAUACACCUGGAAAUUGUUUGGUUUUCCUUGGCCGUCUUGAACUAACAUGAUCUGCCAUUUUGGCAGACCAUCAUUGUUCACAAAGUAUUUGGAAAACCUCACAGUUUUUAGGAUCACUUCUUCCCUGACAUGUAAAAAAUUCCGAGAUUAAAUUUUGAAUAGUCUACCAACUAGUAGUUUCAAAACUAGCUAAACUUAAA